CCUACGGGAGGCUGCAGUGAGGAAUAUUGGUCAAUGGACGAGAGUCUGAACCAGCCAAGUAGCGUGAAGGAUGACUGCCCUAUGGGUUGUAAACUUCUUUUAUAUGGGAAUAAAACGUUCCACGUGUGGGAUUUUGUAUGUACCAUAUGAAUAAGGAUCGGCUAACUCAGUGCCAGCAGCCGCGGUAAUACGGAGGAUCCGAGCGUUAUCCGGAUUUAUUGGGUUUAAAGGGAGCGUAGGUGGAUUGUUAAGUCAGUUGUGAAAGUUUGCGGCUCAACCGUAAAAUUGCAGUUGAAACUGGCAGUCUUGAGUACAGUAGAGGUGGGCGGAAUUCGUGGUGUAGCGGUGAAAUGCUUAGAUAUCACGAAGAACUCCGAUUGCGAAGGCAGUUCACUGGACUGCAACUGACACUGAGGCUCGAAAGUGUGGGUAUCAAACAGGAUUAGAUACCCCAGUAGUC
rnacentral:rRNA from 1 species